rnacentral:misc_RNA from 1 species
AAGACUAUAGACCUGCGGAGUACCUGCGGAAGGAUCAUUACCAAGAGAAAUCUUUCAACACUGAAAGAUCUUUUCCUUUGUGCUGGCUUUGACCGUAUGUAAUUUUGGGACUUUAAAAUGGUUCGCAAGGGCCGGUCCCAAAAACAAUAUAUCAUCCUUAUGAAAUUUUUUCUGAACAAUUAAACAAAUGAUUUUAAUAAUCUGUUUAAAACAACUUUCAACAAUGGAUCUCUAGAUCGG